CUGAAACGUCCCACCACUGAACAUUUCACUGAUCCCCUUUUCUGUGCCAUCUGUCUGAUCUGGCCUCUUCCCAAGCAGUACUGCUUUCCCAGUAGUUUGUCUGAUUUCUGCUGGGAUGCUGUCAAAGAGAAGGAAACUUCUUCAUAAAAUGUGGGGGAAUGUGUUCUCUGCACGAAAAAUCUCAAGACGGAGUAAUUGGCUAUCUUGGCGGUUAACCAGAUUCCAGGGUGAUCUUAACGAAUGGAUGUGA
rnacentral:lncRNA from 1 species